rnacentral:rRNA from 1 species
AGAGUUUGAUCCUGGCUCAGGAUGAACGCUAGCGGCAGGCCUAACACAUGCAAGUCGAGGGGCAGCACGGUGUAGCAAUACACUGGUGGCGACCGGCGCACGGGUGCGUAACGCGUAUGCAACCUACCCAUAACAGGGGGAUAACACUGAGAAAUUGGUACUAAUACCCCAUAACAUCAGGACCGGCAUCGGUUCUGGUUGAAAACUCCGGUGGUUAUGGAUGGGCAUGCGUUGUAUUAGCUGGUUGGUGAGGUAACGGCUCACCAAGGCAACGAUACAUAGGGGGACUGAGAGGUUAACCCCCCACAUUGGUACUGAGACACGGACCAAACUCCUACGGGAGGCAGCAGUGAGGAAUAUUGGUCAAUGGCCGAGAGGCUGAACCAGCCAAGUCGCGUGAAGGAAGAAGGAUCUAUGGUUUGUAAACUUCUUUUAUAGGGGAAUAAAGUGGAGGACGUGUCCUUUUUUGUAUGUACCCUAUGAAUAAGCAUCGGCUAACUCCGUGCCAGCAGCCGCGGUAAUACGGAGGAUGCGAGCGUUAUCCGGAUUUAUUGGGUUUAAAGGGUGCGUAGGUGGUGAUUUAAGUCAGCGGUGAAAGUUUGUGGCUCAACCAUAAAAUUGCCGUUGAAACUGGGUUACUUGAGUGUGUUUGAGGUAGGCGGAAUGCGUGGUGUAGCGGUGAAAUGCAUAGAUAUCACGCAGAACUCCGAUUGCGAAGGCAGCUUACUAAACCAUAACUGACACUGAAGCACGAAAGCGUGGGGAUCAAACAGGAUUAGAUACCCUGGUAGUCCACGCAGUAAACGAUGAUUACUAGGAGUUUGCGAUACAAUGUAAGCUCUACAGCGAAAGCGUUAAGUAAUCCACCUGGGGAGUACGCCGGCAACGGUGAAACUCAAAGGAAUUGACGGGGGCCCG